CGCGUAGGCGGGCCGCCAAGUUCGAGGUGAAAUCCUCCGGCUCAACCGGAGAACUGCCUCGAAUACUGGAGGCCUCGAGGCGGGUAGGGGCGUGCGGAACUGUGGGUGGAGCGGUGAAAUGCGUUGAUAUCCACAGGAACUCCGGUGGCGAAGGCGGCACGCUGGACCCGAUCUGACGCUGAGGCGCGAAAGCCAGGGGAGCAAACGG
rnacentral:rRNA from 1 species